AUAAAUUAAAGUAAAUAAUAAAGGGCGUAUGGUGGAUGCCUAGGCUCUCAGAGGCGAAGAAGGACGUGAUAAGCUGCGAAAAGCUCCGUUUAGGUGCAAAUAACCUUUGAUGCGGAGAUCUCCGAAUGGGAUAACCCAAUAUGUUGAAGACAUAUUAUACCGUAAGGUAGGCAAACGCAGGGAACUGAAACAUCUAAGUACCUGCAGGAGAAGAAAACAAACGUGAUUCCCCCAGUAGCGGCGAGCGACCGGGGAAAAGCCCAAACCGUUAUUGUUUCGGCAUUAACGGGGUAGUAGGACUGCAAGCUUGAUGAAAUAAAUGAAAUGGAACACCUUGGAAAAUGUGAUCACAGAGGGUGAUAAUCCCGUACAUGCAAGUUUAUGAAUCAUAGCAGACUCCUGAGUAAGUCGGGACACGUGUAAUCCUGACCGAAUCCGCCGGGACCAUCCGGCAAGGCUAAAUACUCCUGAGAGACCGAUAGUGAACCAGUACCGUGAGGGAAAGGUGAAAAGCACUUCGAACAGAAGAGUGAAAUAGUCCCUGAACCCAUACGCCUACAAGCUGUCGGAGCCGCUUCGUGCGGUGACGGCGUGCCUUUUGCAUAAUGAGCCUACGAGUUACUCAUCACCAGCGAGGUUAAGUACUUCAGGUACGUAAGCCGAAGCGAAAGCGAGUCUGAAUAGGGCGUCAAGUUGGUGGUGGUAGACGCGAAACCUUAGUGAUCUACCCAUGGGCAGGGUGAAGGUUUGGUAACACAAACUGGAGGCCCGAACCGGUAAACGUUGAAAAGUUUUCGGAUGACCUGUGGGUAGGGGUGAAAGGCCAAUCAAACUGGGAAAUAGCUCGUACUCUCCGAAAUGCAUUUAGGUGCAGCCUCUGUUGUUUUGUUCUAGAGGUAGAGCUACUGAUUGGAUGCGAGGGCUUCACCGCCUAUCAAAUCCGGCCAAACUCCGAAUGCUAGAACAUGAAGACAGGGAGUGAGCCAGCGGGUGCUAAGGUCCGUUGACGAAAGAGGGAGAACUCAGACCAUCAGCUAAGGUCCCCAAUUGUAUGCUAAGUUGGAAUUAAAACGGGGUGGGACUGCUUAGACAGCUAGGAUGUUGGCUUGGAAGCAGCCAUUCAUUUAAAGAGUGCGUAACAGCUCACUAGUCGAGCGGUCCUGCAUGGAUAAUACGCGGGCAUAAGCAUAUAACCGAAGCUAUGGGAUUGUAGAUGAUACAAUCGGUAGGAGAGCAUUCCAUUCAGCGUAGAAGCAGUACCGUGAGGUAUUGUGGAGCGGAUGGAAAAGCAAAUGUAGGCAUAAGUAACGAUAAUGCGGGUGAGAACCCCGCACGCCGAAAGAUCAAGGAUUCCCCGGCAAUGUCAAUCAUCCGGGGGUAAGUCGGAUCCUAAGGGUAAGCCGAGUGGCGAUCCCGAUGGCAAACAGGUUAAUAUUCCUGUACUGAUCAUAACUGCGAUGCAGCGACGCAGAGGUGACACUGCUGCGUACUGACGGAAUAGUACGUUGAAACCCGUAUUCUUUGAUACCGGUAGUGAAGCACGCCGGUAGAGAUGAAAGGUGAUAGUACCGCAAUGCUUCGGUUGCGCGGAUAACGCAGGUAAGCUGACUGCCAAGAAAACCUGCUAAGCUUCAGGUAAUGAUCAUCCGUACUGUAAACGGACACACGUGAUCAGGUAGAAAAUACUAAGGCGCUCGAGAGAUUCAUGGUUAAGGAACUAGGCAAAAUGGUCCUGUAACUUCGGGAUAAAGGACGCUCUUGUGAAAGAGCCGCAGAUAAUAGGCCCAGGCGACUGUUUACCAAAAACACAUGGCUAUGCUAAUUCGCAAGAAGAUGUAUAUGGCCUGACACCUGCCCGGUGCCGGAAGGUUAAGAGGAGAGCUCAGAGGCAACUCGAAGGUUUGAAUUGAAGCCCCGGUAAACGGCGGCCGUAACUAUAACGGUCCUAAGGUAGCGAAAUUCCUUGUC
rnacentral:rRNA from 1 species